UCUAAUUUUUGUGUCCCUCGACCUUUGCUGCUGUGUGGGAGACCAGCAGGAUGGUGUUGGGAACACUGGGGCAUGGCCACUAGGUAACUCAAGGGGAUGGAAGACCACGAGUGUCAAUAAAGCCCCCUCGCACUAGGCCCCGGUGUCCUUGCCCCCCCCCCCCCCGCCUGGAGGCACUCGCAGCAGCUCUGCGUGCUAGGCCCAAGUGUCCUUGGCCCCCCCGCCUGGAGGCACACACAGCAGUUAUGCUGAGAAUCUGCAACAGUAUGUUGCAGCGUCAGACUGCCUGAAACUAAGCAAGGCCAAACAGGGGAGAUAUGGAAGAACAAUGCUGAAUAAAGCAGCUUUAUGUAUAGUUUAACAAAUAAUACAGAGAAUCAGGGAACUAGCUGGGAACUGGAUUGGCUGGCUAUAUGGAUACUUGGAGCAGCUUGCUAUUGGAUAAGUAUGCUGGGAAAAAGGAUGUAUAAAAGCCUGUGUAACUUCCUGCUCUGUUGUACAGGAUUUGAGAUUCAAAUCUCCCUGUACCUUUUUGAAGCUUCAAAUAAACUUUUCUGCUUCUCCACCCCGUUGUGAUUAUUGGGUGUAGCACACCGGGUAAUGAACCAACUCAAGCUGUUGUUCAGCCUCUCGGCACUGGGUGCCGGCAACAGCUUUUGGCGUCCCUGGGUGGGCUCGAGGCUGCAAUUUAGCCUUGCCCGGACCCCUCCUGGAGGUCGAGGAUUGCGGCGAGAACCGACGCCCAGCGCGCACCGGUGAGUUCAUCAGGGGCCUUGGAGGAGACGCGAUUUGAUCGACCCCAGAGGGCACAACGGUGCAACGCACUCAUAUAGUGGAGAAGCUGUUGUGGAUGGCGGUGAAGAACCGGUCCCUUAGACAUGGGGGAGGAGCAGCUGCAGGCCACGGUGAAGAACCGGUCCCUUGGAUAAGGUAUACCAAGGAUUCCCAGCCUCUCCCCUUGGACUCUCCCGUUCACUCCUUACAGCCCGGUGACUCUGUGCUUGUUCGCACCUGGAAAGACAAGCCUCUCCAGGAAAAGUGGAAAGAACCCUAUACCGUCCUGCUGACCUCCCAUACAGCGGCAAAGAUCAAGGGCCACAAGAACUGGAUCCAUCACUCUCGUCUGAAGGCAGUACCUGCCCCCUCGUCAGCAGAACAGUGGACCGUCCAACCUGCUGACUCCUCAUCUAGUGACGAUCUCGGGCUAAAGCUACUGUUUAAAAGACACAAAUAGCGGGCACCUUAAUGCUAAAAUGGGCCCACCCAGGUACUAAAGACCUUGGGUUGGAAAGACUCUGGUAAUAAUUAAUUGGGUAACAUUGUUAUUCUUUGUAUUGGUAUUUCCAAACUGUGCGUAUCGGGAGCAUAACUCCUUUGUUUUGCUUGCGCACCAUGUUGCUAAUUUAACAAACCAGACUAAUUGCUGGGUAUGUGCUCCAACUCCACUAUCCCCCAAGACGGGAAUGCCCCUUAACAUGCUGCCCUUGACCCUAGCAGAAUUAGCCACCACCAAAGAGCAGGAAAGAACAAACUCACCGUUCUGAAACAAGACCUCUUUACAGCAAGCCACCUAUCAGGACCAGAAGUAUUCAGUUGCAGUACUCACUGAGGAAGUGUUAUGUUUUACCCAAAACCAAUCUGAUCCCUAUGGGCAUCCUG